rnacentral:rRNA from 1 species
ACGAGAAUAUUCCGCAAUGGACGAAAGUCUGACGGAGCGACACUGCGUGAUGGAUGAAGUGCUUCGGUACGUAAACAUCUUUUAUCGGGGAAGAAGUCUAUUGACGGUACCCGGUGAAUAAGGGGCUCCUAACUCUGUGCCAGCAGGAGCGGUAAUACAGAGGCCCCAAGCGUUAUCCGGAAUCACUGGGCGUAAAGGGUGUCCAGGUGGCCAUAUUAGUCUUUCGUAAAAUCCGUGGGCUUAACCUACGGCGCGCGAGAGAAACGGUAUGGCUCGAGGGCGCGAGAGGUGCAUGGAACUCAUGGUGGAGGGGUGAAAUCCGUUGAUAUCAUGGGGAACACCAAAGGCGAAGGCAGUGCACUGGCGCGUUCCUGACACUCACACACGAAAGCCAGGGGAGCGAACGGGAUUAGAUACCCCCGUAGUCC